GCCAGGUGACACACACCUGUUGUCCCAGCUACUCAGGAUGCUGAGGCAGGAGGAACACUUGAGCCCAGGAGUUCUGCGUUGUAUGCACUAUGCUGAUGAAGUGUCUGCACUAAGUUUGGCAUCAAUAUGUUAGCUUCCAGGGAGCAGAGGACCACCAGGUUGCCUAAGGAGUGGUCAACUCAAAAAUUGAGCAGAAUAAAACUCCUCUGCUUAUCAGUAGUGGGAUGAGUCCUUUGAAUAGUCACUGCACUACAACCUGGGCAACAUAGUGAGACCCUAUUUCUU
ensembl:misc_RNA Metazoa_SRP Metazoan signal recognition particle RNA